rnacentral:lncRNA from 1 species
CGCGACUGAACCGACCGACCGGCCGACUUCCACGGCCCUAGCUGUCCCUAUCGGUUCCAAACAACCUUCAUAGUCUUAUAAAGUGCGUAUGAAAGCCCCUAGCUUUCGGAGCGGACUUGUGGCGCUGCUUUGGCUGUGCGCGGUGCAAGCAUGUGUCGCGUGCAGGUGCUCGGCGCGCGCAAUUAGAUGCCCCAGCCAGGCAUAAUGCAAUCCUUGCUACCAUACCGACCAGUCUGUCGCGACUGGAAUUUCUUAACGGGCCCAGCGAGGGAGCGGGGAGACUAGUUCCGCGAGCGGUUUGGCGAUUGGACCGGCAGCGCACAGCGCAGCGCCGCUAAGAAAUUCCCGACCGCAAAAGUUCUAACUAGACCUCACGUAAGGCUUGUUUGCCGGGUCGGAAGAGCAAUAACGAGCGAUUGCGCGACAGGGUUCUUGUGCGCGAGCAUCGCACCAUGUCGAUUGGCUGGUAGGGCCUUAUUUUCACGUGCCCGCGGCCGGCCAUAUGUUGUAUGCGGUCUCAUAAGCACACAGACGCGGCGUGCCUGAAUUUGACGCGUCCUGGAGCUGCCCCGGCGCGCGCGCAUGGAACCGCUGAUGGCCGCUCUGGUCCAGGCUGGCCGAUAUAAUUCCGACAGCUCCAAAAGUUCUAUCUAGGGCAUAUGGGUUGGGCGCAGCCCAAGUUUGCGGCCCAAACGGCGCGCAUAUGUGGACGCAAUUCGUGUGCGCGGAUUCGCAUGUUUCGCGCCCGGUCCCGGCCUGCACGUUUUUCGCGUACCCGCGCCUCGGAUGUCCUACCUGGUGUCAUACAUAUGCUAUGCACAUAUGAUUGCCACCAUCCGCGCCGGCAUGGGCACCAGCACCGGUUGGUUGGCACGGUUUCACCCUUUCCUCCCCUCACCGUGCGCCCACAGGACCUGUCUGCCGAGGCUGGUAUGGGCAAACGCAGAGGCUGGUGUGUGGGCCACGGCUCUACCACUAACUCAACGGCGUUUCAUGCGCUGGAGCCUGUGGAGGAGGAGCUGGCGCCCAGUUGGUGCAUGGGCGCCUGCAGCGGCACGGUUCGUUGGGGAAAGGGCCCCCUGGACUUCACCUAUGUGCUUCACACAAACUUUCCCAGCUGGAAAGAGCCCACGGGCCGGGGCCACAAGUGCAACCUGUGCACGGGCUGUGUGAAGCCCUGUCCAUGGACUUUAAUUGACUGGCGACUGUGGCGACUCGUUGCGAGGUAAAGGGCCCGAGGCGCAGAAUUAAGAGGAAAGUCAUACUGGACUACACCAGGCAAAAGACCACCGCACAAACUAGGUACCAAGUCUACUGAACCAGCCAGUUUUGCCUGCGUCAGGGGUGUGUGCUGAGUCCCACACCCCUAAUAAAGAUGACCAAUAGGAUUAGCACUAGGAAGGUGUCGCUGCGCAGCGUGUGCGACAAUGACGAUACGCUCGCAGCCAUUAGAUUUAUAGUGGAAUACGUCGCCACGCCGCUUCGCGUGCGGCUGCUGGACUUCCUGCGGCACUGGAUGCAUAACCCACGCAACAGACAAGUGUUCCCCGGUCACGGGAAAAGGGGCUGAGCCCCUACACAGUCUGAGGCCGACCCACCUCAUCGCCCGGACAUAGCCGGCGUCGGUUGGCUUGCCCCUUCCCCCGAAGGGGGAGGGGCAAUAGCCAUUGCGGUCGCAUCGAGCUCGCCGCGGGGGGCCCUCCCGGUUAUUCCAGUUUUGACUUGAGUUAUAACCUUGAAACCCGAGCGCAGCGAAAUUUGUCGUGCAAAUAAUGCGCCUUUCUAUGUAUGUAUUGCAAAGAGUAACAUUAUGAAAACGCAAGCCCUAUGCCAGAGCGGGGUAAACGCACAAGCGCAGCGUUUGCAUUAGAGCUCCAGCGCAACAUACAAUAUAUCACAAAUUGUAUCGAUAAUCAAGGCUUCCGGCAUGGAAGGACGCAAGACGGAGGAAUCGACGCGUUGGAGGAUCCCGGAAAUUGCGCGCGAAAGCGCGAGGCGCAAAAGGUUGGCGCUAUCUGUUUUAGUUUCCCCGUAAUGACGAAUGCCGCGUUCUGUAUUCUGCUCGCACAUCACCCGGCACAUCGGCGUUACUCUCGCCCGCUUCUCGCUGGCUUCCACGCCCUGAGUCCGUGCCCCCGCUGAGUCCGAGCCCCCAUCCCCGCUCACUUGCCCACCCCCAGCCCGCGGCGCCCUGAGCUACCGAAGGCAAUAUCAUGACCGGUAGUAUGGCUGCUCGCAGCCCCCAGCAGACCUAUAUGAUACUUCCAACAUCCGCCAGUCCAUCCCACCCCACCCCAUCCCCACACCGCAUUCCGGGGCGCACGGCAUGGAGCGCCCUGAGGGGGGAGGGGCAAGCCGGAGUACUGCGUAGCGGUAGGUGUUUCAACAGGCACAUAGCCAAACCAGGUGCCUAGCAAUCGUGAUGCCACGGCAGAGCCAACCGCAGCCAGACGCAGCACAGUUGUCAACAGCCGCACUACUUGUCAUGCCGCAUGCCCUGCCAGCCCCACCGCGGACCGCUACCUAGACACCAGCCG